rnacentral:rRNA from 1 species
GACGAACGCUGGCGGCGUGCUUAACACAUGCAAGUCGAACGAUGAAGAAGAGAAACGCGAACUUCGGUUCAAAUUUCACUUCGGAUUAGUGGCGGACGGGUGAGUAACGCGUGAGCAACCUACCUCUUACAAAGGGAUAGCCUCGGGAAACCGUGAUUAAUACCAUAUGACACAUUCAUAAGGCAUCUUAAGAAUGUUAAAGCUACGGCGGUAAGAGAUGGGCUCGCGUCCCAUUAGCUAGUUGGUGAGGUAACGGCCCACCAAGGCGACGAUGGGUAACCGGCCUGAGAGGGUGAACGGUCACAUUGGAACUGAGACACGGUCCAAACUCCUACGGGAGGCAGCAGUGGGGAAUAUUGCACAAUGGAGGGAACUCUGAUGCAGCGACGCCGCGUGGGCGAUGAAGGAAUUCGUUUCGUAAAGCUCUGUUCUAUGGGAAGAAAAGGACUGUACCAUAGGAGAAAGCCCCGGCUAAAUACGUG